rnacentral:rRNA from 1 species
GAUGAACGCUGGCGGCGUGCCUAAUACAUGCAAGUCGAGCGAACAGACGAGGAUCUUGCUCCUCUGACGUUAGCGGCGGACGGGUGAGUAACACGUGGAUAACCUACCUAUAAGACUGGGAUAACUUCGGGAAACCGGAGCUAAUACCGGAUAAUAUAUUGAACCGCAUGGUUCAAUAGUGAAAGACGGUUUUGCUGUCACUUAUAGAUGGAUCCGCGCCGCAUUAGCUAGUUGGUAAGGUAACGGCUUACCAAGGCAACGAUGCGUAGCCGACCUGAGAGGGUGAUCGGCCACACUGGAACUGAGACACGGUCCAGACUCCUACGCGAGGCAGCAGUAGGGAAUUUUCCGCAAUGGGCGAAAGCCUGACGGAGCAACGCCGCGUGAGUGAUGAAGGUCUUCGGAUCGUAAAACUCUGUUAUUAGGGAAGAACAAAUGUGUAAGUAACUAUGCACGUCUUGACGGUACCUAAUCAGAAAGCCACGGCUAACUACGUG